UCUCUCUCUCAAUUCAGUUCAAUUACAUUCAAGAUUCAGUAUUUCCAUCUUUCCUUUCCCUGGUUCUGUCUUUGUGUCUCUCCCUUCUUCUCUUCUCUAUUUCUCUCCCAUCCUUUUAUUACCCUCUCUCUCCCCUCUGCUCUUGUGUCACUCAUUCUUUCCUCUCGGCUCACUUCUUUCUUUUUGUUCUGCUUGUCAUGGUCCAGAUAAUCGAUAAUGAAAUGUGUUUGAUGUACACAGAUGAGAUCUGACAGCGCUGCUGGACGAGACGAUCCACGCCCGGGGGAGGAGACAGAUAUAAACGUGUGAACAGGAAAUUGCAUCAUCCGGAUUUCCUGAAGAUCAUGAGAAGAAGAAAAAGCCUGAUUGAGAGUGCUGGGAUGAGCAACAGGACAGUCCGUAUGAUUACAGCAGCAGCUCUUCAGGUUGAGGAUCUCUGUGAGCAUGAAGCAGUGGAAGAUCAGCGGUUAAGGCUUGGAAGGUUGUGACUUUAAGUCCUGGUUCUGUCACGCUGUCACCGCUUGACCCUUAACCCUCGACUCAGCACAAUUACAAUUCCCUUCGGAUAAAAGCGUUUGCCAAAUGAGAAAAUGGAAACGUCUCUUCAGCAAGAACUCUGUCUCAGGUUGUCAGACUUCCCUUCCUUUUUUUUUUUCCAGCUCCAUGAUCUCCUCAGAUGGCUACUGGCUAUUUUCCUGAUUAUCCUGA